CCCCCCACCCCCUUCUUCCCAGCCUUCCUCCUUCCUCCUCCUCCUCGCCUCACCGUCACUCUCAAACAUCCCCCCCCCCCCCCCCCCCAGCCGCCCCAAACUCCUUCCUCAGGACCGUGGGAUGCUGGGGAGCUCUGGUGAGAGUUGCUGGUCUCCAUUUCCAAGCUGGGAGCCGCCGGCAGCGCCUAUUUUACCAUUGCGGACAAGAUAGGCAGAAAAAGGAGCGUUUGACUUGGAGGCUGCCCCCGAUUUUAGUCCAAAGGAGCUGCUUUUGGGAACUGGGUGUCCGGCUCCGGUGUUUGCCUGCUGAGGAAGAGGCUCACUCUGUUCUCCAGUCUUGUUACGUGGAUUUCUCUCUCUCCGAGUAA
ensembl:lncRNA